AUAAGCUGUGUUGGGUGGACUGGAGGUGUGUCCACUACUGUGUUGGGUGGACUGGAGGUGUGUCCACUACUGUGUUGGGUGGACUGGAGGUGUGUCCACUACUGUGUUGGGUGGACUGGAGGUGUGUCCACUACUGUGUUGGGUGGACUGGAGGUGUGUCCACUACUGUGUUGGGUGGACUGGAGGUGUGUCCACUACUGUGUUGGGUGGACUGGAGGUGUGUCCACUACUGUGUUGGGUGGACUGGAGGUGUGUCCACUACUGUGUUGGGUGGACUGGAGGUGUGUCCACUACUGUGUUGGGUGGACUGGAGGUGUGUCCACUACUGUGUUGGGUGGACUGGAGGUGUGUCCACUACUGUGUUGGGUGGACUGGAGGUGUGUCCACUACUGUGUUGGGUGGACUGGAGGUGUGUCCACUACUGUGUUGGGUGGACUGGAGGUGUGUCCACUACUGUGUUGGGUGGACUGGAGGUGUGUCCACUACUGUGUUGGGUGGACUGGAGGUGUGUCCACUACUGUUGAACAGUGAUGUGUCAACAAACGAUCUCAGGGACGUAAAAUAAAUAAUUAGUUCUUAGUUAACCUGCCAGUGGGAAAAUAAAAGCUCAAAUAAAA